GGUAAGUAAGGCACAGUGUCCACACAGCUGGGCAGCACUUAAUUGAGAACAUUGGGCAGUCAUCCUAUACCCAGGUUGGGUAGGCUCUGUACACUUUCGAGCAGUCCACCUGCAUGAUCGGCUCUGCUAUGCCACAGGUGAGCUUCUUCCUCCCAGUCCCAGACCAAGGGAUCAGGAUGGCUUCUGGUGUCGCUUGUUUUU